AUAAUGGGUCAGCGACUUAUAUUCUGUAGCAAGGUUAACCGAAUAGGGGAGCCGAAGGGAAACCGAGUCUUAACUGGGCGUUAAGUUGCAGGGUAUAGACCCGAAACCCGGUGAUCUAGCCAUGGGCAGGUUGAAGGUUGGGUAACACUAACUGGAGGACCGAACCGACUAAUGUUGAAAAAUUAGCGGAUGACUUGUGGCUGGGGGUGAAAGGCCAAUCAAACCGGGAGAUAGCUGGUUCUCCCCGAAAGCUAUUUAGGUAGCGCCUCGUGAAUUCAUCUCCGGGGGUAGAGCACUGUUUCGGCAAGGGGGUCAUCCCGACUUACCAACCCGAUGCAAACUGCGAAUACCGGAGAAUGUUAUCACGGGAGACACACGGCGGGUGCUAACGUCCGUCGUGAAGAGGGAAACAACCCAGACCGCCAGCUAAGGUCCCAAAGUCAUGGUUAAGUGGGAAACGAUGUGGGAAGGCCCAGACAGCCAGGAUGUUGGCUUAGAAGCAGCCAUCAUUUAAAGAAAGCGUAAUAGCUCACUGGUCGAGUCGGCCUGCGCGGAAGAUGUAACGGGGCUAAACCAUGCACCGAAGCUGCGGCAGCGACACUAUGUGUUGUUGGGUAGGGGAGCGU
rnacentral:rRNA from 1 species